rnacentral:rRNA from 1 species
GCUUAACGUUGCGCGUGCAGUGGGUACGGGCUGACUAGAGUGCAGUAGGGGAGUCUGGAAUUCCUGGUGUAGCGGUGAAAUGCGCAGAUAUCAGGAGGAACACCGGUGGCGAAGGCGGGACUCUGGGCUGUAACUGACACUGAGGAGCGAAAGCAUGGGGAGCGAACAGGAUUAGAUACCCUGGUAGUCCAUGCCGUAAACGUUGGGCACUAGGUGUGGGGGACAUUCCACGUUCUCCGCGCCGUAGCUAACGCAUUAAGUGCCCCGCCUGGGGAGUACGGUCGCAAGGCUAAAACUCAAAGGAAUUGACGGGGGCCCGCACAAGCGGCGGAGCAUGCGGAUUAAUUCGAUGCAACGCGAAGAACCUUACCAAGGCUUGACAUACACUGGACCGUUCUGGAAACAGUUCUUCUCUUUGGAGCUGGUGUACAGGUGGUGCAUGGUUGUCGUCAGCUCGUGUCGUGAGAUGUUGGGUUAAGUCCCGCAACGAGCGCAAUCCUCGUUCUAUGUUGCCAGCACGUGAUGGUGGGAACUCAUAGGAGACUGCCGGGGUCAACUCGGAGGAAGGUGGGGAUGACGUCAAAUCAUCAUGCCCUUUAUGUCUUGGGCUUCACGCAUGCUACAAUGGCUGGUACAGAG